rnacentral:rRNA from 1 species
UAGGGAAUCUUCGGCAAUGGGGGGAACCCUGACCGAGCAACGCCGCGUGAGUGAAGAAGGAUUUCGGUUCGUAAAACUCUGUUGUUAGAGAAGAACAGCGCAUAGAGUAACUGUUAUGCGUGUGACGGUAUCUAACCAGAAAGCCACGGCUAACUACGUGCCAGCAGCCGCGGUAAUACGUAGGUCCCGAGCGUUGUCCGGAUUUAUUGGGCGUAAAGCGAGCGCAGGCGGUUAGAAAAGUCUGAAGUGAAAGGCAGUGGCUCAACCAUUGUAGGCUUUGGAAACUGUUUAACUUGAGUGCAGAAGGGGAGAGUGGAAUUCCAUGUGUAGCGGUGAAAUGCGUAGAUAUAUGGAGGAACACCGGUGGCGAAAGCGGCUCUCUGGUCUGUAACUGACGCUGAGGCUCGAAAGCGUGGGGAGCGAACAGG